rnacentral:misc_RNA from 1 species
AGCACAUAGUUUUUAAGUGUAACGCGACCUUCGUAUGUCAGCUUUGAUGUUUCGCAGGCAGAUUUAACGAGCUCUUAUCAGAAAAUUGUAGGAAGUAGUAUUUCCUCGCUUAGAAAAUAUGGCAGAAUCCUACCUUCUCGUCGUGUUUCUGGUCUUCAAUAUCGAGGCUGAAACUCUUCCUAAUUGCAAACAAGAGUUCUCUUGCGAAUCCUUCUUAUAUCUUAAACAUCGAGUCAAUGGAAUGUUUGGAAAAUUGGAGGAACUAUCGAUGACUCAAAACAAAUUAAGAACAGUAGAAGAGCACUUACUCUCGGAUAAAAGGAACUUGCUCAAGUGUAAAGAAAGCGUCAAACAGUUGAGGAAUCAAUUCGACAGUUUAAAGAACAAUCCCGAAAGUGAUGAGAACAACAUAUUUAACUUUAAUCGGAGUUUAAUCAGAGUAGAAGAUAAAAAUUCUCUGUUGGAAAAAAAGCUGAGAAAGUUAGAAGAAAAAAUUACACUUAACGUUACUCAGAAACUAGAGGAACACGAAACUGCUGAUAAGAAUGGAAUGCAAAAUCUGGCCGAAAUCCGUGCAAAAUUGAAAGAUAUAGAAAAGAAUAAUACAGAAAACUUUAAAAAUUUGGUAAGAGAUAUUAAUAAUAAGGUUGAUAAAUCUGAAUUUUCUAAAUUUAAAGUGAAAGUUAAUGAUGAAAUUCGGAGUUUGCAAGAUGCCGUAAAGAAAUUGGAAGAAACCGUACAGAGUUUUCCGUUGCAGAAAAGGAAAAUUAUAGAAGUUCAGAAUAAAUCAAUAGAGAGUAUAAAUGAUUUCAGGCGGCAGAUUUUACAAUUGAGAAACGAUUUGAAUAAUGCCAAAAAAGAACAAGAAAGAAAAUUUUCUUCUUUACAAGAUUCUUUGAAAGACAUCAAAGAACUUCUGAAUUCGACGAAAGAACAAACUACUACAACUAUCUCUCCAGAUUUCAGAAGAGAUUUAGAAUCGGCUUUAAGUAAAGGCAUUGGUCUGCUUAAACAAUCGGGUGGUGAAAAAAUAUCUUCAAAAUCUGUUUCAUGGACAUCGGAGGAAUCAUUUUCCGAGCGUCAAAAACCUUAACAAAACCAAUUACGGAUUACGACACUAUCGACUGGAAGAGGAUCAGGUAUCAUCAUCAUCCUUCACUCGAUCAUAAAAUGACGUAUGUAUUAGUUCUGUGUUCGGUGUUAAUUAUUAAUUUAAAUCCCAUCCGCGGUUCGAGUUACUGCGAAGAUGUACCUUGUGGUUUUGUCGAAAGCACGAAACUUAAACUAGAAAUCGCUAAACCCGAACUCGACGUUAUAUCGGAUUUAACAGCUAAUGUCGUUAAAAACGAAAUUAUCGUCACAGAAGAGUUUAAUCCUUCCGUCAAGCAAGCUCUACAUGAUUUGCACGAGUUACUUUUAUACACGGAAGAUCUGAAUAAUGAAGAUUUAAUCGUUGAUGAAGUCCCCGAAGAUUUGUUUCUUCGGCUUAAUAUGGAGGAACGGAGUUGCACCCAACUGGAAGAAAGGAAAAAGAAACCGAAGACUUACUUCAAGUUAUAAAAAAACACUCGAGUAAUUUAAUGCAAGCUCUCGUUACCACUCAACAAAAUUCCGAAAAGUUGAUGAAUAAUAAAAUGGCGAAUUCCGAAUUUAAUCGCACGAUACAAGACAUGAUUUUUCAGCUAAAUAAAACUCUUUCGUCCCCGCUGCUUAUUGGAAACUCUGAUUUACUUAAUUUGAAAGACCAAUUAGAGAAAAGUUAUGAUAUAAACGUGCAACUCGUGGGGAUAUUUCAGGAAAUUGAAAAACUUCGAGGAUCUCUACAGAAAUUACGAGAAAUUGGUGAUAAUAUGGAGGCGAUGGGAAAGGAUAUUCAAGCAAUUUUGAACUCAUUCAACGCGAAAAACGAAACUCGAGUACCAUCGAAUAAUAAUAAUAACAGAUUUGCAAAGACUAAUAAAAAUAAUAAGAAAAGAAAAGAGGGCCUCUCCGUUGCAGAAAUCAUAAAAUCUAAGAAAGAAAAUAAAAACGGUUAAAACGAGUAAUUUUAACACUUUAAAAAUGUUAGUUCUUUUAAUAUUAAGUUAUGAGAAAUCUUAAUUAUAUAAAGAAUUUAAUUUCGUGUAAAAAUUAUUUGUGUACUGAAGUAAUUUGUAAGGAUGUAAAAAGGUCUGUACGAAAAUAAAAUUGUGUUUUGUACAUUUAAUAGUCGAAUGCUCCUGGCAUUUCUAGGGCUUAUGAGAGGGUGACAAAAAUAAUGGUGUGUAGUAAAUAAAAUGUACUGUACAUUUAUUGAGCGGAGUAUUUAUAAUAAUGAAACUGAAAAACAAAAAAUUGCUGGGGCUUAAGUUAAGAAGGAUGGGCUUUAGGGGUGGAAUCCCGUAGUAUUUUUGUAGGGUGUCGAAGAAUAUUCGUGCCAAAUUUGGUGAAGAUACGUUGAAAGAUUAUGGAACAUUUGCAUGCAUACAUAUUUUGACUUUUAUAUAAAUAAAUACAGUAUAUUUUCUACGCCGUGGCAUAGGAAUUACAUCGAUCUUCGUUUAUUAUCUCACAAGUAAAGCAUGGCACUGAGUAAAUAGAAAAAAAUUCAAAUUAUUUUGAUGGUGAGAACCGGCAGUCAGUGUAAAAUCGCUGAAGAGUUUGACAAGCUGCAUCCAGACUUCCUAAUAAUUACACACUGCAGUCUGGAUAUACUGUUAAAAUCUGACUUUCGGAUCUCCACCAUCAAAAUAACUUGAAUUUAUUCCUCGUUUAUCUGUAAAAAAAAAAAAUAAACAAAGGUUAAUAUAACUCAUAUGGUUCCAGACUUAUAGGGCACCCUUUAUAAUUUUGGUAAAUUUAUUUUAUAAAUUAUUACAAGAAAAAAGCAUGCAAAACUAUUAAUGGUGAUAAAAUUAACAGACUAUAUAGCAUACAUAAAAAAAAUAUAUUUGCAGUGUAAUUAGAUAAAAAUUAAAGUGUACAAUACUCCUGAUAUUGUAUAUGACAAUAUACUGUAAUUAAUUACAGCUGCCAACUUAAUUAUACCUUACUUAAACUAUAAAUAAAGGUAUGGCACAAAAAUUAUCAAUAGAAUAAAAUCUCAAUUAUCCAUCACUUUGGUACAAAACUGAUUAUUUACCAUGAUAUCUAUUUUGCUAGCAUGUAAGUUAUGCACCACAAGCAUGAAUGCCAUCCUAUUGCAUGCAGAUUUGGACGUGUAUACUAUCAUUCUUCACACCUUGCAAGACAUCAGGUUUUGACCUUAAAAUGGGUGAAUGACAUAAAUCAAUUAGGGCCUUGUGACCUCACUGGUAAAAACUCAGUGAUGCUAUGUGUUUGUCUGGCAUCAAUGUUGUCCCAAAAUGGAAAAUCCCAUAUGGUUUGUUUAUAGUAUGUGACUUACAAGUACAAAAUCUACAGGGUGUCUGGUAAUAUUGUUUAGAAGUAUGAGUAUAUUAUACAUUUAAUUUUACGGUAUUUAUUACACGUGUUUAUAUUAUGCAGUAUAAUUUCAUAUAUAAACAAGUUAUUAUCUGACAGUUCAUUUGAAAUUGUUAGCAUGCAUUUUUGAAAUAAGAUUUCAAAUUUCAUACAGUAAGAGUAUUUGAAUUGACUCAACUCUUCCUGCUUUUCCUAUAAAUCAAUAUUGAGUUAUUUUAUAAGCUGGAUAUUAGAGGGUAGAACCUACACAUGGGCAUAGGAUGAAGAAAAGAGGAGUGUGAAGAGUUGAGAAGGAGGAGAUAAAUUCCUAGUAGGGUAAUGUGCAGAUAGAAUGAAGAGAUAUUAAUUAAAAUAAAUACAUUUGUUGAGAAAUGUUUACGUAGUAGUAGUAAUUACAUAAAGUAACAGCUUCACUAUACCAGGGCAAUACAGUAAAAGCUGGAUAAUCAAGAUUCUAAUAUUGUUGUUAUUAAAGUUUAGAAAUAAUUAAGCUUCGUUGUAAAAAAUGUAUUAUUAUUUAAUAAAAAAGUAACAAGACUACUUUUUAAGAAUUAAGAAAAUCUCUUUAUUGCACAUAUUGU